rnacentral:rRNA from 1 species
CAUGUAGGCGGCCCGAUAAAUUAGAAGUGAAAUGCCUGGGCUUAACCCGGGAACUGCUUUUAAGACUGUCGGGCUUGAAUCCGUGAGAGGACAGUGGAAUUCCCAGUGUAGAGGUGAAAUUCGUAGAUAUUGGGAGGAACACCAGUAGCGAAGGCGACUGUCUGGUGCGGUAUUGACGCUGAGAUGCGAAAGCGUGGGGAGCAAACA